rnacentral:lncRNA from 12 species
AAAAUGUACAGGGGCAAUGGAAAUGGCUUUCUGUGCACAGCUAACUGAGCAAGAACAUGCCCAGAGACUGUCAGGAGCAGGAGAAAGUCAAAAGGAGCUGCAGGCAGGGAGUGGGGAUUGAUCCCAGCCCCUCACCCUCCUCUCCUCCCCCAGCAAGGAGAUUCCAGCUGUACAUGCUACAUGAGCCAACCUGUGUCAACCCUGUCUGCCUAAGCUUUAAACAUGAUUUAGAUUGUUUUUUUUCCCCAAAU